AGAGUUUGAUCAUGGCUCAGAUUGAACGCUGGCGGCAUGCCUUACACAUGCAAGUCGAACGGCAGCACGGGAGCAAUCCUGGUGGCGAGUGGCGAACGGGUGAGUAAUACAUCGGAACGUGCCCUGUAGUGGGGGAUAACUAGUCGAAAGACUAGCUAAUACCGCAUACGACCUGAGGGUGAAAGUGGGGGACCGCAAGGCCUCAUGCUAUAGGAGCGGCCGAUGUCUGAUUAGCUAGUUGGUGGGGUAAAGGCCUACCAAGGCGACGAUCAGUAGCUGGUCUGAGAGGACGAUCAGCCACACUGGGACUGAGACACGGCCCAGACUCCUACGGGAGGCAGCAGUGGGGAAUUUUGGACAAUGGGGGCAACCCUGAUCCAGCAAUGCCGCGUGUGUGAAGAAGGCCUUCGGGUUGUAAAGCACUUUUGUCCGGGAAGAAAUCGCACCUGAUAAUACCGGGUGUGGAUGACGGUACCGGAAGAAUAAGGACCGGCUAACUACGUGCCAGCAGCCGCGGUAAUACGUAGGGUCCAAGCGUUAAUCGGAAUUACUGGGCGUAAAGCGUGCGCAGGCGGUUGUGCAAGACCGAUGUGAAAUCCCCGGGCUUAACCUGGGAAUUGCAUUGGUGACUGCACGGCUAGAGUGUGUCAGAGGGGGGUAGAAUUCCACGUGUAGCAGUGAAAUGCGUAGAGAUGUGGAGGAAUACCGAUGGCGAAGGCAGCCCCCUGGGAUAACACUGACGCU
rnacentral:rRNA from 1 species